rnacentral:rRNA from 1 species
UACAGAGGUCCCAAGCGUUGUUCGGAUUCAUUGGGCGUAAAGGGUGCGUAGGCGGCGCGGUAAGUCGGAUGUGAAAUCUCGGAGCUUAACUUCGAAACUGCAUUCGAUACUGCCGUGCUUGAGGACUGGAGAGGAGACUGGAAUUUACGGUGUAGCGGUGAAAUGCGUAGAUAUCGUAAGGAAGACCAGUGGCGAAGGCGAGUCUCUGGACAGCAACUGACGCUGAGGCACGAAGGCCAGGGGAGCAAACGGG